GCUGUGAAGCAUGUUUCAUCAGGGGUUUUGCUGGAGUGAGAACAAUUUUCAGAGUCCUAGUAUGUGUGAGAUGGACGAGUGACUACAUCAGAGAGGCUGUGAAAAGGCAUGUAAAGGGGAGAAAUAAGAACUAAAUAUAUCAGACCCACACUUGUCGUUUUUUUUUUUUUUCUUUCUUUCUUUCAUUUGACAAGGCAGGUGGGGGAAGAAAUGUGGAUGAGGACACAAUGCACUUUUUAAGUGCUGUGUUUCUUGAAAUACAUCAAAGAGUCUGAGAGAAAGCAGAAAACUCCAAAUAGACUUCAAGAGAGUUUUUUUUUUUUUUUUCUAUUAAAAGCGUCGGCAUCUAUAAAGGAAAUGGAAGAACUGCAUUAGACCUAAAUGAUCUCAGAGAAGUGUCAGAGGAACUGACAGAAAAGAUACAUCAUCGAAGGACAAAGAUCCAAGGUGAUACAAUGAAAUACCAGUAGAAAGAAAUACAUGAAGAUGCAAAAAUGAAUUUGGCACUUUGAAAGUAAUACGUAAG